CGUACAGCCCUCUUGUAGGAGGGCCCCCUUUGACAAGCAGCCAGCUUUUGUCUGUCUCUUGAGGGUUCUCUUCAGGUUCGCGUCGGUAUCUGUGUUACUAGGACUGUGGCUCGCUUGAUGGCCACAAGGGGCUCAACUGCCUGAUAAGGCGCCGACCCUGCCAGGGCGCCCCCACGGCUCGCAGGGACCCAGUUAAACAGAGGCGUACGUGUUCGCCGGGCUGGAGCUGAAGAAAGUCACUCACCCCUGGAGAGCUUUUCUUUUGGGGUCAAGGAACUGAAGGUGGGAGGGGGCUCAUCCAACAUUUCUACAGAAUUCAAACUGGCGUUUCAGACAAUCACCCAAACAGCUUAGAGGCGUUGCUAUUGUGAGUGGCGAAGACGAUGGCAGGUGGCUAAUAACUUCGCAACAUCCCUUUGGAUCUGGAGCUGCCCUUGACUAGCCAGUCGUCGAGGUAUGCGUAGAUCUGGACACCCCAACAUCUGAGGGCUUUCCCAUCGAAGGGAAGAUCUUGCAUCAACUGAUGAGCCUCCGUGGACAAGCGAGAAAGGAGCAGCCAGGAUGCCCGGCGCAUGGCGAUGGCCGAGGCCAUGGUUCGGGAGGCAGUGUCUGCCGCAUCCGAUGCUGCCUGGAGCUUUGCCCUGGCUGCAGUCGUGCCCUCCUCCAUAAUUGCCUGGAACUCCUUCCUAGAAGCCUGAGGAAGAGAGCCCUCGAACUGGCCACAUGUUAAAAUGAUAGUGUCCCAGGAGGGCUUGAUGGUUGGCCACCCUCCACUGGAGACUAGAGGACAAAUAAAUCUUAUGCCCAAACAAG